rnacentral:rRNA from 1 species
GUAGGUGGCAAGCGUUGUCCGGAAUUAUUGGGCGUAAAGCGCGCGCAGGCGGUUCUUUAAGUCUGAUGUGAAAGCCACGGGCUCAACCGUGGAGGGUCAUUGGAAACUGGAGAACUUGAGUACAGAAGAGGAAAGCGGAAUUCCACGUGUAGCGGUGAAAUGCGUAGAGAUGUGGAGGAACACCAGUGGCGAAGGCGGCUUUCUGGUCUGUAACUGACGCUGAGGCGCGAAAGCGUGGGAAGCAAACAGGAUUAGAUACCCUGGUAGUCCACGCCGUAAACGAUGAGUGCUAAGUGUUAGGGGGUUUCCGCCCCUUAGUGCUGCAGCUAACGCAUUAAGCACUCCGCCUGGGGAGUACGGCCGCAAGGCUG